GUAAUCAAAACAAGGACGAAACACAGUGGCGCAAAUAAAGCGGCUGUGAAGAGACCUCUGAAGUCCCAGCAAUAGAGAACUCGAAAAUGACAACGCUUCGAGAUUUGGGAAUAUCAGUACGUUUCAUCAUCGGGCACCAUUGGAAGUAAGAACCUGGUCUCAAUGGGUUCUUUAUUAAAUGUGUGUGAAUAAAGCCUCAUGAGACUGUCUGUGGUCUGAUCUGUCUAUGGUCUGAUCUGACGGAGGAUAACAGGAGAACACACUUCAGAGCUAUAGUGACCAUUCACUCUACUGUCAUUACUCUGCUCAGCCCAGCAUUCAGAACAGCAUUCAGAACAGCCAGAGACUCGGCAGGUGAAAGGCAUCGUGGGAACGUUUUUCUCUUUUCCAGAAAGGGUGUUGACAUCUGGCAAUUUACUUUAUGGAGACCUUGGCAAUAUUGCACAUGUGUACCCUGGUAAACAAAGUAAUACAAACCUUGAGAAGAGAUAUAAAAACCACCUUCACUGGAACAAUGUUACUGGAUUCUUCACUUUGUCAGACCUACAAAUAGACGAUUCUGGGGUUUAUACUGUGGAGAAUGGAGAUGCUGAAGAGAAGAUGAGACAUACAUUUCAGCUGACUGUGUACUAUGUUCUGUCAAAACCUCAGGUGACUGUUCAUGAGAACAUCUCCUGUAGUGUUGUGUGUUCUGUGGAGAACGGGAGAGAGGUGACCCUGUCCUGGUACAAAGGAGGGGAGAUACUCAACCAGACCAGCAGCCCUGACCACAUCACCCUCUCUCUACCUCUCAAGGUGGAUGAACAGAACAGAGACUCUUACAGAUGUGAGGCUGCCAACCCAGUCAGCAAGGGGACAGCUGUUGUUCCACAUUCCUGUAUAGAGAGUGAUCCCUCUAAGGUGACAGAUGGUGAUGUGAGGACUCUUAUUGCUGUAAUCUGCGUUUUGUUGGCUUCAGGACUUGUUGGACUUGCAAUAUAUCUUACAUUGAGAUGCAUACGCUCACGUGCAGGUAUUUAGCUUUUAAAGGGGUGAGGUCAUUCUCCUUGUCAAAGUCAAAACAUGUUGUGCACAACCUUUAUUAAUGACCAUUGAUAGUGUUUUUAUAAAUGUAGGAAAUGUUUGCCUGAACAACGGAUGCAGGUCAAAUGAAGUGGUGUAUUAAGGGAAUUUUUACCUAUGACUAAUUAUGUAUAUUUCAAUCAGGCCUGAUGAGUCAGAAUACUAUUAUGUUACUGUACAUGUAUGAAUUUUCUUGAUCCCAGUACUGAAUAUAAUGUGAUCAAGAGUUUAGAACAUUGACGGUCUGUUCCUUGGUACAAAUGAAGAACUAUAUCUCCAGACUGACUAGAAUGCUUAUCUACACUGGCUGACCUUGGCUCUAGGCAAGGAGGGAAGGCUUGAACUAUAGAGCCUUUCUACCAGGGUCAAGAAGAGACGGAACAUUUAGAAAAUGCUGACGUCAUUUUCAGUUUACAACCUGUGGUAAAAUGUGUAAGUACUCAGUACUCUCGAGAAUAAACUCUGCUGUUUUGAUUUUGAGACUGGGCUCUGUCUAUUAUUAUAGAAUAAGGGUCUUACAAGUCCUUAUGAAUGGACAGUGUUUAAUUUUAAUUGGAUAUUAAAACAGAGUAAUUUAAUUCCUUUAACAAUUAUCUUCCACACUUCCUCUGCUUGGUCAGACAGUUGCAUUAUCUCAGACCACUUCUCUAAAUGUUGAAAAAAGCAGAAGGCACACACAAGCACAGUCUUACAAUUAUUUCGUAGGUUCUCUGGUGCCAAAACCACUGCUAGUACAGGUACCCAUAGUAACAUGAUUCUUUAGUGUUUUCAGAACCUGUCUUGGGGAUGAGCAUUUGUGCAUAUCUGUUAGUAACUCCCACCCACACUGUGUAUUUAAUUGACUUUAUUUGCUUUUAUGGAUUCACCUGAAAGAAAGCAAGAUGAUGUUCAGUAUGCAGAGAUAACUCACAUUAAACCAGCAGAAAACCAGGUUAGUAAUAAUUCUACAGGCUGAUAAACAUAGGAGAUGUAAUACAGCUGCUUUAUCAGCCCUCAUGUCUACAACUGUUGGCUUUAUCUCUGUGUCAGUGGGUUCAUGUGGUAUUGAGUUGCACAGACCACCUGAGUUUGAUAACCGGCCUGAUGUCAUUGCAACCAGUUUUGCCCAAAUGAAAUGUUUGGGUUGCACAAUGAGACGCCACACUGCAUAUUGUACAUACAGCACCAGUCAAACGUUUGGACACACCUACCCAUUCAACUGGAAUCACAACUGCAGACCACAUGUAACCA
ensembl:lncRNA